AGUGAACGCUGGCGGUAGGCCUAACACAUGCAAGUCGAACGGCAGCACAGUAAGAGCUUGCUCUUACGGGUGGCGAGUGGCGGACGGGUGAGGAAUACAUCGGAAUCUACUUUUUCGUGGGGGAUAACGUAGGGAAACUUACGCUAAUACCGCAUACGACCUACGGGUGAAAGCAGGGGAUCUUCGGACCUUGCGCGAUUGAAUGAGCCGAUGUCGGAUUAGCUAGUUGGCGGGGUAAAGGCCCACCAAGGCGACGAUCCGUAGCUGGUCUGAGAGGAUGAUCAGCCACACUGGAACUGAGACACGGUCCAGACUCCUACGGGAGGCAGCAGUGGGGAAUAUUGGACAAUGGGCGCAAGCCUGAUCCAGCCAUAUCGCGUGGGUGAAGAAGGCCUUCGGGUUGUAAAGCCCUUUUGUUGGGAAAGAAAAGCAGCAGGUUAAUACCCCGCUGUUUUGACGGUACCCAAAGAAUAAGCACCGGCUAACUUCGUG
rnacentral:rRNA from 1 species